ACGUGGAGAGGAAAGAGCCCCCCCCCCUACCUUCUUAACCGGCUGUGCACGUGCUUUGCCUGCUCACACACACGCGCAUAAUCUUCCUUCCCCCCCCCCCCGACAUUUCGUACUCAUCCGAAUAUUCAUACGGCCCUAACGCCACGACCGCAUCGGUGUACCUCUUUUUUUUUCUGCUGCUGCAGGCGACCACUCUUCCUCUCUCUUUCGUUUCGGUUUGCGGUUUUGUCGAUUGCCUCGGCUCUCCCUGUUUUGUUACGCUUUUCUUAUUUUCCAGCCUCAAUACUCGACGUGCGUCGCGCUUUAUUGGGUAUUCAGCCCCCCCCCCGCCUUUCCCCGCGAUCGGCAUUCAUCAAGAUGGGGAAGCCUUCGGAUCCCGCACCGCCCAACCGGCGGUGCGCCGAGUGUGAGCGUAGCUUCGGCAUCACAGUGUGGAAGCACAUCUGCGAUGUGUGCCACCGCACCGUGUGCGACGACUGCGCCCCUCGCAGCACCGAGAGCGUUGAUGCUAAGGGUGAAAAGGCGAUGUUGCGAGUGUGCAAGACAUGCGGUACCACAGGGCACCGUCUAGGCAGUGCCGCUGGUGGCAACUGCGCUACCGAUGGUGCACAGGGCACAGGCACUGCUCGCCCAGACCCACAUAGUGAGGCUGAGAGGGAGCGCCGUGCGCGCAUCAUCGAAGAGCGCAACAAGGCACAGAAAAACCGCGGACGCCCUCAACGCGCGGGCGGCGAGGAUGGCUCCAGAGCUGCGGUUGCGAGUGCGCGGCCUGCUCCCCCCGCUCCGGCAACCUCAUCUCCCACAUCGGCCCCGCCAAGGGCGUCUGCCUUGCCUCCGGCUGCUCUGCCGCCACCGCCCGCAAACUCUGGCAGUCAAGAGCGUCUGGUCAACCCUGCCCUAGAGGCGGCGAUGCGACGCCAGCAACAGCAGCAAGCGCACAGUCGCGCUGCAGCUUCUUCGCCGGCGGCCAACAUGUCUCCCGAGAAGAUGCGUCUCCUUUGUGAGAUCGAGGCGCUCCUGGCGAAGCAUCUCGAGGAUCCGCCGUUUGGCUUGCGGGCAGCGGAUGAAGCGAAGCUGCACGGGUACCUUCAGUUCCUCAAGAAGAAGUAUCAUUUGAGCGAGUAGCUGGGGAGAGUGGUUGGGCGCUUUCGGGAGUGGGGUCGGACCGGGUCGGCUUGCUCUCCUCGCAAGGCCUUCUAGUGGCGUGUGAGCCUGCGUGCACAAGUGUAGGUGUGAUGGUGUUCUUCGCGUUUUGUCGCUCAACGUGUUCGUGCACAAAAUGUCUGUGUCCAUGUUGGGGGGGGGGGGGGGGGAGGCGGAUCGAUGUGUGUCUCUGCCCUCUCCUUCCCUGUCUGCGUUUCUCUUGAUGCACACCACCCCUUGUGUUUGCUCUCACAUGCUCGCCAGCGACCUUCACCUCUCUCCUUGCAUGCACCACUGGCUGCGAGAACACGACCACUAUCACCGUAAUCACCACCAACGCUUUUCGUCGCCUCUCCUCUUGAGUGUGAAGAAUGCAUGAUGACUCCUCCCCGCCUCCGCCCCCACCACCUGGGCGAAGAAAGGCGAGGCUGCGGAGCAAAACGGGAAACAAAGAGCUGGUGGGAAGAGAGAGGACGGCGCGAAGUGCAUGUGCAUGCUCGCGCCUGGUACCAACGCUCAACAAUCGCCUGCUGUCAGGUCCUAAAACAAGCCUCUCCUGCACUACAGCGUGCUGCUAUUGCGCAUGCAGCGUGGCGAAUAUGAAACCUCCGAGCAAUCGAAUGCCCAGACAUCGAAUCAGCAUUGCUCCGGCGAACUCCGUAGCGCACAUAGCCUGCGCCGCUGUUUCUCUCUCGUGCCCGAGCGCCCAUGCCACUCUUCUGCCCUUUGCCUGCAUCUCCUCGUUGUCCUCUUCUUAUCUCUCUUUCCCCUUCGCCCCCUCGGUCUUUGGGUCGCCUCCAACAG
rnacentral:misc_RNA from 1 species